GAUGAACGCUGGCGGCGUGCCUAAUACAUGCAAGUCGAGCGAACAGACGAGGAGCUUGCUCCUCUGGCGUUAGCGGCGGACGGGUGAGUAACACGUGGAUAACCUACCUAUAAGACUGGGAUAACUUCGGGAAACCGGAGCUAAUACCGGAUAAUAUAUUGAACCGCAUGGUUCAAUAGUGAAAGACGGUUUUGCUGUCACUUAUAGAUGGAUCCGCGCCGCAUUAGCUAGUUGGUAAGGUAACGGCUUACCAAGGCAACGAUGCGUAGCCGACCUGAGAGGGUGAUCGGCCACACUGGAACUGAGACACGGUCCAGACUCCUACGGGAGGCAGCAGUAGGGAAUCUUCCGCAAUGGGCGAAAGCCUGACGGAGCAACGCCGCGUGAGUGAUGAAGGUCUUCGGAUCGUAAAACUCUGUUAUUAGGGAAGAACAAAUGUGUAAGUAACUAUGCACGUCUUGACGGUACCUGAUCAGAAAGCCACGGCUAACUACGUG
rnacentral:rRNA from 1 species